AGUGUGUAUAUGUCAAGCAUAUUUAUUCACUAACGACCUUUAAGCCAUUUUAAGUAAUGUUUGGCAAGCUCCCUUUUGAGGUUACAGCACAAGGUCUCCUGUAGGCAGCAGCGGAGGAUAGCAAGGGUUGCACCAUCCAAGCGACGGAUGCCAACCACAAAGAAGAGCCGAAGAUGGGUAAGAGGGAGUGCUGGGGCAUCUUCGUCCUUUGAACACCGGGCGGAGCACUGCGACCGGGACCCUGCUGUGCAGCUUUAUAAAAAAUAUUUUGGAGCUGGUGAGGGGAGCUCACGCCCCAGGCCAGCCUCUUCGAUCACUGGUGCCAGGAGCCACGAAGAGCCAGCACCGCCCCUCUUGGUGAAACAGUACUGUACUUCUUAAAGCAAUGAAUCUGCAUACAGACAUGAAGCGACACAGUUAUGCUGGUGGGAUAACAGCUACCUGGAGCUCAACACCACAAGGACAGUGGAGAUGACUGUGGACUUCUGGAAAUCCCCCCACCCUUCCCUACCUACCAUCAACAGCACUUCCAUCCCCACUGUGGAGUCAUGUAAGUUCCUUGGAAGUAUCAUCUCCAAGGACUUUAAGUGGGAGAGCAACACUGACUCCAUAAUCAAGAAGGGCCAGAGGAUGUUCUGCUGCAGCUAAAGAAACUCAACCCUCCACAGUCAACGCUGAUCCAGUUCCAUACAGUUAUCAUUGAAUCAGUUCUCACCUCCUCCAUCACGGUCUAGUUCAGCUCAACACUAAGCAAAGCAUCCAGAGACUGCAGCGUGUCAUCUGAGCAGCAGAAAAGGUCAUUGGCUACAACCUCACCCCUAGUGAUUCGCUAUCCCCCUCAAGAAAAAAAAGGACAAAAACAUUGCUGACACCUUCCAUCCUGGCCAUGCACUCUUCCAAGUUCUCCCUUCAGGGAGAUGGUUCCAUUCCAUCAGAACCACCACAUCAAGACGCAAAAACAUCUUCUUCCCCCGAGGGAUUGCACCGCUCAACACCUGAUCACAAUCUUUGCCUCACUUUUUGUUUUAGCAUAGCUUAAUUUAACUUUGUUUUUUUGUGUGUUUAUUUAGUUCUUGGGCAGUAUUAAGGUAUGUGUCUCAG